CGGGGAAAUGCAGACUCCCCGUCAGACGGUAGCCGUCCAAGUUCUGC
ncrna:unclassified sequences chrB RNA